rnacentral:rRNA from 1 species
CAAUAGCGUAUAUUAAAGUUGUUGCGGUUAAAAAGCUCGUAGUUGGAUUUCUGCUGAGGACGACCGGUCCGCCCUCCGGGUGAGCAUCUGGUUCGGCCUUGGCAUCUUCUUGGUGAACGUAUCUGCACUUGACUGUCGUGGUGCGGUUACCCAUGGACUUUACUUUGAGGAAAUUUAGAGUGUUUCAAGCAGGCAUACGCCUUGAAUACAUUAGCAUGGAAUAAUAAGAUAGGACCUCGGUUCUAUUUUGUUGGUUUCUAGAGCUGAGGUAACGAUUAAUAGGGAUAGUUGGGGGCAUUCGUAUUUAACUGUCAGAGGUGAAAUUCUUGGAUUUGUUAAAGACGGACAAUUGCGAAAGCAUUUGCCAAGGAUGUUUUCAUUGAUCAAGAACGAAAGUUAGGGGAUCGAAGACGAUUAGAUACC